rnacentral:rRNA from 2 species
GUAGUGGAAGUCCAUUUUUCAAGGGUGGAAGUGCUAUUGAAACUGUAUGGCUUGAGUGCGGGAGAGGUUAUCGGAAUUCCCGGUGUAGCGGUGAAAUGCGUAGAGAUCGGGAGGAACACCAGUGGCGAAGGCGGGUAACUGGACCGCAACUGACGCUGAGGCGCGAAAGUGUGGGGAGCAAACAGGAUUAGAUACCCUGGUAGUCCACACGGUAAACGAUGAAUGCUAGGUGUAGGGGGUAUCGACCCCUUCUGUGCCGCAGUAAACACAGUAAGCAUUCCGCCUGGGGAGUACGGUCGCAAGAUUAAAACUCAAAGGAAUUGACGGGGGCCCGCACAAGCAGCGGAGCAUGUGGUUUAAUUCGAAGCAACGCGAAGAACCUUACCAGGUCUUGACAUCCAGGUAAAGCCGCAGAGAUGCGGUGUGUGCUUGCACAAUCUGAGACAGGUGGUGCAUGGUUGUCGUCAGCUCGUGUCGUGAGAUGUUGGGUUAAGUCCCGCAACGAGCGCAACCCUUGCCGAUAGUUACUAACGGGUGGAGCCGAGGACUUUAUCGGGACCGCCGGGGACAACUCGGAGGAAGGUGGGGACGACGUCAAAUCAUCAUGCCCCUUAUGACCUGGGCUACACACGUGCUACAAUGGCCGACACAGAGAGGAGCGAACCCGCAAGGGGGAGCGGAUCUCAAAAAAGCGGUCUCAGUUCAGAUUGUGGGCUGCAACCCGCCCACAUGAAGCAGGAGUUGCUAGUAAUCGCGAAUCAGCAUGUCGCGGUGAAUACGUUCCCGGGCCUUGUACACACCGCCCGUCACACCAUGGGAGUUGGUAGCACCCGAAGGCAGAGAGGUAACCGCAAGGAGCCAUCUGACGAAGGUGAGAUCAAUGACUGGGGUGAAGUCGUAACAAGGUAACCAAGGGCGAUCCA